rnacentral:lncRNA from 1 species
AAGGAUUUCGUUAAGUUUCUCAUGAUUCUUCGGCAGUACAGAUAGAGAUUUUAAAAGAUUUUCAAAACUUUGAUUUUGAAUGGAUGUUAGCCAUGCCAAAGUAUCCAUCUUUGAUGAAUGGUUUAGGGGAAAAAAGCAGUUUUCUAACAAAAUUGUAGCACCUUGUGUGUGAGUUAUCUUUUAAAAUUUCGUUUCAAGUAAGAAUUUUAUUCUGAAAAGAGUUUGGAUAGAGGUGAAAACAGAGACUCUGGAUACUGUGAGAUAGCGUCUGUGGAAACACGGCUAGUUUUAUAGAGUGAGAAAUGCAACCUUAAUUGAAAAGCAUUUUGCGGAAGCAGUUGUGGACCCAAAUGAUUUCAAAAACAUUCUAAAACUUUACUUGAUUCAGAAGAUUGAUUAAGUACAUGCAAAGCAUCUAUAAGAGCAUACUGGAGGGAAAGCCUGUUUAUUUCCACUUGAUUACUGUAAGUUAUUUACUUGUUUUUACAUGCUUAUACUUUAAUUAUUUUGAUGUACAAUUCACAAGCAUCCACUUCCACUGAUAAUGGUGAUAAUAAUUUUAUUUUAUUAUUAGAUGAAAAAGAUGUUUCAUUUUUAUUUAAAUUAUAUGAAAAAUCGGAUAAUAUAUUCCCUGUUGAUAAAGAAAAAAUCGAAGAAAUAUAUAGAGAUAUAGAUUAUAGUUGUAAAAAUAAUAUAGGAUUUGAUUCUGUGAAAACUUAUAAAGAAAUAAGAAAAGUAGAAGAUAUUAUAACUAAACAUAAAAAUAUACAAGAAAAAAUUUCAGAAGGUUUAGUUCGAGGAUAUAUAACUAAGAAAGGACAACCUAUAAUCUUUGAAGAACUAUCAAGAUAUAGAGAAUAUUUGAAGGUGUUCAAAAAAUUGAAAAAUAUAGAUAUAAGUCCUGAUUGACAAGUCCUUAAAGAUAAAUGAUACAUCUUGUAAAUAACUAUAGUAAGGGCAAUAUAGUACUUUUAACAAAAGAUGCUAUUGUGAAAAAUAUGAAGAAUCUUUCAGCCAUUCUCAAAAUUACCCCCUCCAAACCACUUUUCUAAUUAGUUAAUGGAUAUAGCAGUGACCAAUGUGAAGCAAAAUUUUAAUUUAGUGACUAACUCUAAAAUAAAAUUAAGUACUAAGAGUGUGUUUGAUUAGCAUGAAAAAUAUCACUUAAAAAAGAAAAUAUUUUCCUUAUUUUGAAGAAAACAAAAAUCACGUCCCCAAAGAAAAUAUUUUUCUUAAAAGCAAGAAAAAUCAAAUAUAUUUUCAAAAGUUGGAAAAUAUUUUUAAUGAAAAAAAU